rnacentral:rRNA from 1 species
CCUUAGAUGUUCUGGGCCGCACGCGCGCUACACUGACAGAGCCAACGAGUAUAAACCUUGUCCGAGAGGUCUGGGUAAUCUUGUUAAACUCUGUCGUGCUGGGGAUAGAGCAUUGCAAUUAUUGCUCUUCAACGAGGAAUAUCUAGUAAGCGCGAGUCAUCAGCUCGCGUUGAUUACGUCCCUGCCCUUUGUACACACCGCCCGUCGCUACUACCGAUUGAAUGGCUCAGUGAGGCCUUCGGACUGGCUCAGGGAGGUCGGCAACGACCACCCAGAGCCGGAAAGUUGGUCAAACUUGGUCAUUUAGAGGAAGUAAAAGUCGUAACAAGGUUUAGAAUAAGGUUAAAUUAUUCUGAAGAAUGAUCUUUCCGUGACGCUUAUGAGAAGCCUUUGUGGCCCUGCAAAGGGUAUCUACCACGACUAUAAAUUAAUUAAUGUAGAUAUUAAAUCGCAAGUCAGCCGUUAAGCUGGCAACACUUUCGAAUUGCGGGGACACCCUAAAGCUCACUUCUACCAACUCAGCAAGGAAACUUGAUUGAGGGCCCAUGGUAACGACAUGGGGAAUGGUAAAAAUGAAUGUGAGAUGCAGCACCAGCUAAAAUGGGCAAUCCGCAGCCGAGUCCCUAAGGCCUUAGGCUAUGGGAAAGGUUCACAGACUAAGUGGAAGUGGGCCCAAGGUACUGGACAAAACAGUUAUCUUGGGCUUAAGAUAUAGUCGGGCCCCUUUGGAGACAUUGGGGAAGUCACUGUUGACUGCUUUACCGUUCCGUAGGUGAACCUGCGGAAGGAUCAUUAAAAAGUUCCUAAACCAAACUCUUUGGUCCGGCUUAGGCUGGUCAAAGUUUUAAACCCAUUGUGAACCAAAACCUUUUUUGCUUCGGCAGCUGGUUGGGCUUAACGGCUUGACUGUCAGCCUGCCGGCAGCACCAAACCAAACUUAUUAUGAAAUUGUCUGAACAAAUUGAUUCAUUUUCGAAUGAUAAAUCAAAACUUUCAACAACGGAUCUCUUGGUUCUCGCAUCGAUGAAGAACGCAGCGAAACGCGAUAGUUAAUGUGAAUUGCAGAAUUCAGUGAAUCAUCGAGUCUUUGAACGCACAUUGCGCCCAUUGGUAUUCCGAUGGGCAUGUCUGUUUGAGCGUCAUUGCAACCCCUCGGUUUAGGCCGGUUUUGAGCUCAGCUGGCCCCCAAAAAGGAGCAGCUGGCUUUAAAGUUGCACGCUCUGCGGGUGACCCAAACCUGAAAAAACAUAGUAAAAUCUGCUCUUGUUUAACUAAGGUCUGGUCAGCUCCGCCUGAACAACAAACACUUUUUCUAAGGUUUGACCUCAGAUCAGACAAGGAUACCCGCUGAACUUAAGCAUAUCAAUAAGCGGAGGAAAAGAAACCAACAGGGAUUGCCUCAGUAACGGCGAGUGAAGCGGCAACAGCUCAAAUUUGAAAUCUGAAGUCUUUGACUUUCGAGUUGUAAUUUGAAGAGGAUGUUUCGGUUGUGGCCCCGGCCUAAGUUCCUUGGAACAGGAUGUCGCAGAGGGUGAGAAUCCCGUACGCGGCUGGCGGCUUACUUCCAUGUGUAACUCCUUCGAAGAGUCGAGUUGUUUGGGAAUGCAGCUCAAAAUGGGUGGUAAAUUUCAUCUAAAGCUAAAUACUGGCGAGAGACCGAUAGCGCACAAGUAGAGUGAUCGAAAGAUGAAAAGCACUUUGAAAAGAGAGUUAAAAAGUACGUGAAAUUGUUGAAAGGGAAGCGCUUGCAAUCAGACUUGCUUUCGGUUGAUCAACCUUCCUUCUGGUUGGUGCACUCUGCCGUUCGCAGGCCAGCAUCGGUUAGGGCGGUGGGACAAAGGCUCCAGGAAUGUGGCUCCCUUCGGGGAGUGUUAUAGCCUGGUGCGCAAUGCCACCUGUCCUGACCGAGGUCCGCGCUUUUGCUAGGAUGCUGGCUUAAUGGUUGUAAGCGAC